AUUGAACGCUGGCGGCGUGCCUAACACAUGCAAGUCGAGCGGUAACAGGUGUAGCAAUACAUGCUGACGAGCGGCGAACGGGUGAGUAAUGCUUCGGAAUCUGCCCAAUGGUGGGGAAUAACUAGCCGAAAGGUUAGCUAAUACCGCAUACGACCUACGGGUGAAAGCAGGGGAUCGCAAGACCUUGCGCCGAUGGAUGAGCCGAAGUCGGAUUAGCUAGUUGGUAGGGUAACGGCCUACCAAGGCGACGAUCCGUAGCUGGUCUGAGAGGACGACCAGCCACACUGGGACUGAGACACGGCCCAGACUCCUACGGGAGGCAGCAGUGGGGAAUAUUGGACAAUGGGGGCAACCCUGAUCCAGCGACGCCGCGUGUGUGAAGAAGGCCUGCGGGUUGUAAAGCACUUUUAGUGGGGAUGAAAAGCCUUGUUCUAAUAAAGCAGGGUCUUGACCUAACCCAAAGAAAAAGCACCGGCUAACUCUGUGCCAGCCGCCGCCGUAAAAC
rnacentral:rRNA from 1 species